rnacentral:rRNA from 1 species
UGGGGAAUUGUUCGCAAUGGGCGCAAGCCUGACGACGCAACGCCGCGUGGAGGAUGAAGGUCUUCGGAUUGUAAACUCCUGUUGCCCGGGACGAAUGGCUCCAACCUGAUACGUUGGAGUGUGACGGUACCGGGUGAGGAAGCCCCGGCUAACUCUGUGCCAGCAGCCGCGGUAAUACAGAGGGGGCAAGCGUUGUUCGGAAUUACUGGGCGUAAAGGGCGCGUAGGCGGCCUGCUAAGUCGAACGUGAAAUCCCUGGGCUCAACCCAGGAACUGCGUCCGAUACUGGUUGGCUUGAAUCCGGGAGAGGGAUGUGGAAUUCCGAGUGUAGAGGUGAAAUUCGUAGAUAUUCGGAAGAACACCAGUGGCGAAGGCGACUGACUGGACAAGUAUUGACGCUGAGGUGCGAAAGCGUGGGGAGCAAA